ensembl:snoRNA LOC120103328 small nucleolar RNA SNORA17
CCUGUACCUAGAGGUGUUGCAGCUGUGGCUGCUGUACCACGUGUGCAUCUGUAGGUGGCAAGAAGCAGAUAGGCUGUGUCUAGGCUCAGUGUUCUGAUCUAUGAACAACAUUCCGUGAAAGAAGCAAG